rnacentral:rRNA from 1 species
GACGAACGCUGGCGGCGUGCUUAACACAUGCAAGUCGAACGGAAAGGCCCUGCUUUUGUGGGGUGCUCGAGUGGCGAACGGGUGAGUAACACGUGAGUAACCUGCCCUUGACUUUGGGGUAACUCUGGGAAACGGGGGCUAUACCCGGAAGGAGAUACUGACGCCCGGGGGGGGGUGGAAAAGUUCGGGCGGUUGGGGAUGGACUGAGGGAUUAUCGGCUGGUUGGUGGGGUGGUGGCUUACCAGGGUUUUGACGGGUAGCCGGCCUGGGAGGGUGACCGGCCACAUUGGGCCUGAGAUACGGACCAGACGCCAACGGGAGGCAGCAGUGGGGAGUAUUGCACAAUGGGCGGAAGCCUGAUGCAGCAGCGCCGCGUGCGGGAUGACGGCCUUCGGGUUGUAAACCGCUUUCGCCUGUGACGAAGCGUGAGUGACGGUAAUGGGUAAAGAAGCACCGGCUAACUACGUG